UGUAAUAUAGGACUUCGCCUUGCUGUUACAAUUGCAUAGACCUCUUUAUGCUUCAGCAUUUGUGUUCACUGCAGAGUAUAAAUAGAUGAUGUACAGUGCAUCUAUAACUGUUACACAUGCGACAGGUGUGUAAUAUAAAGAAAAGGUAUCCAUUUUGAAAAGAAGAAAAAAAAACAACCAAUCACCUGAGGAUUAUCGGUAAUAAAAACAAAGCAUUGGAGACAGCUCAAAAUGCCGACAUCAUCUGAGUUUCUGAUGCACCUGUCCAACAGUUAUUUGCACGUCUACUUUCCAGAUUGGAUUCCAAUAGAUUUCUAUACAUCUAUGUAUUUCGAUGAAAGAUUUAAAGAGCCGCUCGUAAAAGAAAAGAAAACCAAGGAAAAGAAAUCAUCAUCAAGAAUAAAUCAUGUCAUCAGGACUCUUGCUAAGAGACUCCUGGCUAUUCACAGAAAGCUGAAGGUUAAAGAAACUCCUACGAAAUGGAAAAGAAAGAGACAAGAGAAUUAAAAUGGAUAUUAAUAAUAUAAAAAUGCAUGAUUGUGUACAUAGAUAUAUUUCAAGAUAUGAUUUUAAUCGUUCGCGAUAUAUCGAGUAUCGGUUUCUGAAGCAUUUUGAAGAUACUUCAAGAUAGAAUCUUAAUCAGAAUAAUAUUGUUAAAAUGCAUCAGCCAAAAGCAUUUAAAAGCUAUUUGCAAUUGAUAUUAAAUCCCGUUACAAACAUCUUAUAUCAGGGAAAAGUAAGAAAACUAUUUCUAUUUCUUACUUUCAGACUAAACCUUUACUCACCCCCCCCAUCCCUCCUAAGCCCUUUAGGUUGAGGUUUGAACAAACUGAUUCUACUUAUUAAGCUUUUAACAAAAAUGACCUGCAAAUUGGCCCAAUGAAUAAAUUGUAAAAUGCCUUUAAAAAUAUAUAUUAAAUUCACUAAUUUUGCCGUUCUGGUUUUAUAAUAAUUCAUCCAGGUAGACCAAGUUGAUAAAAAAACAUUGAUAUGUGAGAAGACACCAUAAAAACAAAUAUUACAUGGAAUCAUAAAUUUUCGUAGGGUAUCAGAUUUCGUGGGUUUUUGUUCCAUAUUUUCCUUAUGACGUAAUUUCGUAGAUUUACUUGCAUGAAUUAUGAAAUCGAUUUCAUGAUUCGAGGGGGGGGGGGGGGGGGUGUAAAUUCAUAGGUAAAUGUGGACUUUCGCCAUUUUCCGCGAAUAGAAAUGAUUCCAAUUGCCAUCGCGAUCAGAAAAGUUCACACGGGCUUUCGCCUUGGGUAAACUGAUCUGAAAAACUCUCUCUAGAAAGGUGCAAAGUUCUAAAAAAUUUAAUCAAAAGGUUGAUUUUAGUUUAUUUCGUCUGCAUUGUUCUAAUCAUAAGACUUAGAUCGUAUUUUCUCUGCAAUUCUAAUUUCAUUCAUAAACAAAAGAAAUUUAGUGAUUUUUUAUAUCGAUAUAUCCCGCCAGGAAGACUAAUACUAGAGAGGUUGGAGAACAUUAAUUUGAUUAUGCCAGAGACUGUUGCAGUCUCAAUCAAAUUAAUAUCCAAUUGUGUGAAUUAAUAACCAGUUGUGUGCCUUAAUAGAUAAAUAAUCAGUAAUUUCUGCAUUGGGAUAUAAUCUAGAAAUUGCAAAUAUGCAUUUAUCGUUAGUAGAUUACAAAGGCGCAUUUUUCUUGGUAAAGUACAAGUUCACCCCAAUGUUACAUGUAUUAGUUAGAACUGAGUCAUAAAUUCAUACCGUGGAUGAUAUUACAAACGUUCCUUUAUUAUAACUAAGUUAUUAACUUGAUAUCACAAAACAUUUGAUUCUUAUAUUCAGUUCUAAUCAAUUUGGCCUUGUACGUGUAGAGUUGAGAGAGAGAGAGAGAGAGAGAGAGAGAGAGAGAGAGAGAGAGAGAGAGAGAGAGAGAGAGAGAGAGAGGUGUCAAUUCUCUGAUACGUGCUUUUAUUUGUCAUCUCCAAUAUUAAGAAUAUACAAAACUUGACUUCCACACAACAUUUCAAAUUUCGUUAAGUUUAUUCAAUAAAAUAAUCCGAUUAACAGAAACCGUCCGUUUUAUUUUUCUUUCUCUUUUCAAUCUUAUUUUUUUAAUUGAUUGAACCUGCAGCUGCAUGAGUAUAGAGGAAAUGAUUACAUGCGUAUGCAGAGGAAAUGUGGCUUGUCAGAUGUCAGAGUAAAUUUUCUGUAAUGGUCCUUAAAGAGGGUUCUAAUGGAAGUCAAGAAUAAACAUGUCGACGAGCAUUUAAAGAAUCAAAGAGACAUGGUAGUAACACUUUCUCUUGUAUUUUGAAACAGAAUGGCUGCUUGCAGUGUUAAGGGACAAGACCAAGACGCAUUGUACACAUAUACAGGCACGUAGCAUUGUUUCUGAAAUGAGGGGUGGGUGGCAGACUAACCCCCCCCCC